UCUAUUAAUUCUCUCUCCUGAGGAAACUUUCACUCCCACAGAACAAAGCAAUGCAGUCCAGAGCCAGCCCAGAAGGAAGAGCUUUGCUCUUGACCUACCUGGGGUGGGGUUCACUCUUCCCUCAGGAACCCCCAGGGUAGUCACUGCUCGGGGACCGGGCCCACCUACGUCAGCUCUUCUCAGGAUCUCACUAUAUAUCUUUGACUGGCCUGGGACUUCCUAUGAACAUCAGCCUGGUCUUGUACUCAGAGAUCUAUCUGCUUCUGCCCCUCAAGUGUUGGGAUUAAAGGAAGACACCACCAUACCUGGCUAGUUUUUGUAUUCUUAAAGUUCACAUUGUAUUUGUCUUGUUUGUUUGUUUAUCUGUUUGUUUGUUUCCAGAUAGGGUUUCUCUGUGUAGCCCUGGCUGUCCUUGAACUCACAGAGAUCCACCUGCCUCUGCCUCCUGAGUGCUGGGAUUAAUAAAGAUGUGUGCCAUCA